AAUAGAUACCCUGGUAGUCCAUGCCGUAAACGUUGGGCGCUAGAUGUGGGGACCAUUCCACGGUUUCCGUGUCGCAGCUAACGCAUUAAGCGCCCCGCCUGGGGAGUACGGCCGCAAGGCUAAAACUCAAAGGAAUUGACGGGGGGCCCGCACAAGCGGCGGAGCAUGCGGAUUAAUUCGAUGCAACGCGAAGAACCUUACCAAGGCUUGACAUAUACGAGAACGCUCUAGAAAUAGAGAACUCUUUGGACACUCGUAUACAGGUGGUGCAUGGUUGUCGUCAGCUCGUGUCGUGAGAUGUUGGGUUAAGUCCCGCAACGAGCGCAACCCUCGUUCUAUGUUGCCAGCGGUUCGGCCGGGAACUCAUAGGAGACUGCCGGGGUCAACUCGGAGGAAGGUGGGGAUGACGUCGAAAUCAUCAUGCCCCUUAUGUCUUGGGCUUCACGCAUGCUACAAUGGCCGGUACAAAGGGCUGCAAUACCGUAAGGUGGAGCGAAUCCCAAAAAGCCGGUCUCAGUUCGGAUUGAGGUCUGCAACG
rnacentral:rRNA from 1 species